AUUGAACGCUGGCGGCAUGCCUUACACAUGCAAGUCGAACGGUAACAGGUCUUCGGAUGCUGACGAGUGGCGAACGGGUGAGUAAUACAUCGGAACGUGCCUAGUAGUGGGGGAUAACUACUCGAAAGAGUGGCUAAUACCGCAUGAGAUCUACGGAUGAAAGCAGGGGAUCGCAAGACCUUGUGCUACUAGAGCGGCCGAUGGCAGAUUAGGUAGUUGGUGGGAUAAAAGCUUACCAAGCCGACGAUCUGUAGCUGGUCUGAGAGGACGAUCAGCCACACUGGAACUGAGACACGGCCCAGACUCCUACGGGAGGCAGCAGUGGGGAAUUUUGGACAAUGGGCGCAAGCCUGAUCCAGCAAUGCCGCGUGCAGGAUGAAGGACUUCGGGUUGUAAACUGCUUUUGUACGGAACGAAAAGCCCUGGGUUAAUACCCUGGGGUCAUGACGGUACCGUAAGAAUAAGCACCGGCUAACUACGUGCCAGCAGCCGCGGUAA
rnacentral:rRNA from 1 species